rnacentral:rRNA from 1 species
CCUACGGGAGGCAGCAGUGAGGACUAUUGGUCACUGGACGGAAGUCUGAACCAGCCAUGCCGCGUGCAGGAAGCCGGCUCUAUGAGUUGUAAUCUGCUUUUGUACAAGGGUACACCUGAAUACGUGUAUUCAGCUGAAAGUACUGUACGAAUAAGGCUCGUCUAACUCCGUGCUAGCAACCGCGGUAAUACGGAGGAUCAAAGCGUUAUCCGGAUUUAUUGGGUUUAAAGGGUGCGUAGGCGGAUUGAUAAGUUAGAGGUGAACUUUCCGAGCUUAACUCGGGAACUGCCUCUAAUACUGUUGAUCUAGAGAGUAGAUGCGGUAGGCGGAAUGUAAGGUGUAGCGGUGAAAUGCUUAGAGAUCAUACAGAACACCGAUUGCGAAGGCAGCUUACCAAUCUAUAUCUGACGUUGAGGCACGAAAGCGUGGGGAGCAAACAGGAUUAGAUACCCCUGUAGUC